AUCUGGGAUAGCUCAGUCAGCAGAGCAUGAGACUCUUACUCUCAUGAUGAUGGGUUCGAGCCCCACCUAGGACA